rnacentral:rRNA from 1 species
GACGAACGCUGGCGGCGUGCUUAACACAUGCAAGUCGAACGAAGUGGCGCACGGGUGAGUAACGCGUAGUCAACCUGCCCUUCAGAGGGGGACAACAGUUGGCAACGACUGCUAAUACCGCAUCCUGUAGGGGGGGCUUGAGUCUGAUUAGCAAGUUGGAGGGGUAACGGCCCACCCAGGCGAUGAUCAGUAGCCGGUCUGAGAGGAUGAACGGCCACAUUGGGACUGAGAAACGGCCCAGAAUCCUACGGGAGGCAGCAGUGGGGAAUCGUCCGCAAUGGACGAAAGGCUGACGGAGCAACGCCGCGUGAGUGAUGACGGCCUUCGGGUUGUAAAGCUCUGUUAAUCGGGACGCGGUACCGGAAUAGAAAGCCACGGCUAACUACGUGCCAGCAGCCGCGGUAAUUC